rnacentral:lncRNA from 1 species
AAGAAUUCAUCGAACCAAAAUUUAUGUUAUGUACUGAAACUAUAUGAACAUGAAUGAUGUAUGCAUGAGAACUUACUGUAAAAAUUAAUGCAGAAACGGAACGGGAAAAAUCCACUGCAGAACGGGGACUGUAGAACAGAACGGGAUUAUACAGAAGUGAACGGGACGGGACAGAAAGGAACAGAACGGGAUUAUCUGCAGAACGGGACGGAAAAACUUCAGAACGGGAAUUCUAGAACGGGACGGGACAAAAAAAAUUUCUAGAAAUGGAAGGGAAAUUUUUUGUAUGUGUCAAAUGCUUUCCCUAUACCAUUUAUUUAUAGAAAAAGUUUGCAUGUAACCGUCGUCAAAACGACGUAGUUUCACAAACCCGCCCGUCACGACCACGACCCGACCCGAGUCCACGAUCCGACCCGAGUCAAUUUUCUCAUUCAAA